UAUCAAUUUAGAGUUUUUAUUUUGAUUUGUACUUCAUUUAGUGUAAUAUUUAAGCUGUGGAAUGUAUAUAUUUUGAUAUUGACCGAUUUUGCUUUUUAAUUUUCUUGCAUUUGUUGCGUUGGCUAUAUUUUCGUUCGGAUCUCUCUUAGGCACCCGAUAUUAAGAACUAUAGUCUGUUAAAACAUAGAAUUUAAAAGAUAUGAGCUAUAUCUAUGGAUCAUAUACCUACGUCCCACGGGUAUAGGCUCCAUGGUCAGCUGUGCGAGCUAACUUUAUAAACAUUGUAAUAUCUGUUAAUGUACGUUUUAGAAAUAACAACUGCAAUUGCAGGUCACCGAUAAACAUAAUGCACGUUGCAGUGAUCACAGCUUUGAGGUCCCUGACGGUUUUAAAUCAGCCUGGAAACACCCUGGGAGUGGAAACACGGUGGAAUCACGGUGGAUCCAGGGUGGUUACAGGGUGGGUUUGUGCCAUUUUAUCACCGUGUAUACACGGUGGUUACAUGGUGUUUCCACGAUGGUAACACGGUGUACCCACUCUGAUUCCACGGUGUAUUCACCGAGAUUCCACAGUGUAUCCACGGUGAUUACGCGGUGUACGUGGAAUCACGGUGGGUACACCGUGUAACCACCGUGGAAUCACGAUGAUAAAAUGACAAAAAACCCACCGUGUAACCGCCGUGGAUCCACCGUGAUUCCAUCGUGUUUCCGGGGUGUUUCCAGGGUGAAUCAAAACCGUGAGGGGUGCAAACGAGAACACUCUUCCUUCGUCUUGCACCUUCGGAGGUUUUCCCUCGCGAGUGAUAUACUUGAAAAAUGAAGUAGACUUUUUAAAUGCCACUGCUAUUCAAAGUCCGAGGGCGACUUGGACACCAGCAUGCUGCUGAAUUAGAACUUUAACAAAUGUGAGUGGAAGGAACACAGAUCUAGUGGAGAGUACAUUUCAACAAGAGAAAGCGCAGGAGUACUUAGAACAAAGCCGUCGAUUUAAAAAGACAGAAUUAUCACUACGACGACGGUGGUGCUGUCAAAAGACGGCAGGUCGAGGAAGAGGCGCCAACUCCACAGGUGACUGAGCGCAAGUUCAAGAAAGAUUGUAAGCAUGAGUGUUACAACGGUGACGAUGACACUAAACUUUCGGCGUCGCUGCCUGUUAAUCUGACUUCUUGAUCAACGGUGGAGCCAACGACGUCAAAUAUUUAAAAGAGAAGUUUUUAAAAAAGAGAGGAGUUCCGAAUUUAUCAGAAAUAGAUAUCGUGAUUAUUUGUUCGACUCUCAGACUUUUUACGAUCUUUAAGAGAGCCGCUGAUAACUAUCGGUCUGUAGGCAGACUCUAUGCACGUGGUGACGAUAACAAACAAGCAGGAUGCCGAUGUAGCGCUGUACCAAGCAAUGUUCGAGCUUCCACAACCUAAUUGCGACUGUUGCCUUCUUCAUUUUUCACUUGCAGUGCGUGUCAUCGAUGCCGGAGUGUAAAAUGCCUAUAAGGAACCUGGUCAAAAUGUUUGGACCAACUUUAGUUGGCUACAGUUCCCAAGAGCUGUCAGCGACUGCGAUGCUCUCAGAAACCAAGACCCAAGCUGCCAUUCUUGAGAGUCUGUUGAAAAUUCUCUCUGACUACUGGACUAAUUUUGUAAAUCAUAAAUGUAUCAACGAUAUUGGUACGCUGCGAACUGGUGAGUUGGAGCACAUGCCGUCCACAGAAUCUCUUCUGAAACGCACUGCAACGCGAGGCUUUUUUAACACCCCUCAGGCUUCCAGUCUAACAUUCUUGAGGAAAAAUAGGAAAUAUUUAGCCACACCGCCGCAUUAUAAUGGAAUCCAAAGAAUUCACUAAUGUGUCAGUAAUAAAUUAACUGAGAGUAAAAUUGUUACUGACAUAACUAAAACUAAAGCGUUUGAAAAGUUACAAAUCAUCGUCAUGAAUAAUUGGACUGAGAUAGAAGAGUUUACUUUGGUAAAUUUGCGUCUGUGGCGACAUGGAUUAAACGAAAAAUUUAAUCGUUUGCGAGGUGACGGAGAUGAUUCAAUUUGGGAAUCUAUUAGCCGAGACAGAGUCUUUAGGAAACAAGACGGCUGUCAUGUGUAGACAACGAUUCCAAAUUAUAUUCGAAAAUUAUUUGAUGUAUUUUAAUAUGUCUGGCCGGCAGCAAGAAAUGGUUGGUCUUCCUCCUUACUCCGACGAUUUUAAAAAUUAUAUCAUGCACUCCUGCAAUAACGCACAGGAGUAAUGUACACCCAUUUCCAAGUACCGUCACUUCUGAUUCACUAAAUGUACCUAAUGAGCAUCUGAAUAACUCACAUACCACUUCAAGAGUCACAACAGUGACCCCAUCGUCUACAAAAAUUAAUCCUCGAAUUGACACACCAUUUACUGUAUCUUUCUCUGCUGCUAAUAAUAAUAUUUUUUCUAUUUUGGUUGAUAA